rnacentral:lncRNA from 1 species
AAACUCAUAAGGAAAUUAAAUUGUCUGAAAAAUUCAAAUUAUCAAGGUUUUAGAAAUAGACAUCACGGUUCAAUUAAAAAUCUUUAAAACAAUAAAACAACUGAAUUAAAAACUUAGAGUUCCCCCAUAGGACUUCCUAGCAGAGCGACUCAAUUUAUUAAAAACGGGAAAGGAAAACAGCUCCUAAUGCCAUCUCCGGACUCUUAGCUAAGCAUCAUUGUU